CGGUGAAUACGUUCCCGGACCUUGCACACACCGCCCGUCAAGCCAUGGAAGCUGGGUGUACCUAAAGUCGGUAACCGUAAGGAGCCGCCUAGGGUAAAACUAGUGACUGGGGCUA
rnacentral:rRNA from 1 species